AAAAUAUUAAAAGGACAUUUGACAUUCAUGAUCAUCAAAUUAAUAAUAAAAAUAUGUCGUUGUUAUUAAUUUUUACUCGCUAAAUCUCUUAAUCAGUAAAAAUCAAGUAUCGAAACUUUCUUCCUAACGAUUUAUUACCAUUUUUUGUAUGCAUCGAAAAAAAUACAAAUGAACAGUUGAUAGUCCGUGCAGCAAGAAAAAUUACUUGUCUGUUGGUUUUUACAUAUAAAUGCUUCAAGAAUAACUGAGAAAAAAGUGAAAUAAAUAUUGAAGACAAGGACAUAUAUAUCGCAAAACCAUAUUAACAAAGUGCUACCUAAAACACUUGUUAACAAAUAAUAUAUAUAAACCUUUUCUAAGGUCAGAUAUCAAAAAUCAGGUUGCUUGAGCUCUGCGAGCUGCUCUAAUAUCUUUUGAAGUUGCUUGUUUCCAGCAACUGAAGACCUUUGGCGGCUUUCUUGAGAAUGCAAUGCUUCGUAAUUAUCACGAGCAUAAUUUUUAGGCAUCUCAUUCACAACAAAUUGGGACUGAGAUGUAAUUGUUCCAAAUGAUCCUCCGGUAUCAUUAGGAUUAAAACUAACUCUAGUUGGAAUGUAUGAAGUAGUGCUAUAGGUAUUUUGAAUGAAUCCUAAUAAAUGGUGAAGAUUAACAGAAUCUAAAGAACCUACUAAAGCUGGUAGAUUAGGAUUCGUUGAUAUACAGGGAGAUGGCACGUCAGGCACAAUACGCUCACCAUUAUACGAUGGCGUACUAGAAGCAGCUGAGUGCAUGAGAGAAGUCUUUGCGUGGUGAACAAUACUUGCAGCAACCAUCACGUCCACAGCAGCAUAUUCUAUAAAGACAAAGUUAGAGUUCUGUCAAAACACAUAUAUCUUUAUUCAACGUACCAUCACAACGGACUUCUGAAUCGCUAGAUCCGUCUUUAAACACUUGAACCGACACCUUCCCUAGGUGAGCCAAACCGGCGUUUAUCAAGAUAAUGGAUUUAACGCUGUUAAUAAUACAGCUUUUAAUAAUGACUUGUAAGUUUGAGUCACGGUACAAACAAGUGGUAUGUAUAUUCAAUCGACGCUCCUGAAAGACUUUUUCCACUCCCCAUACAAAUUCCUUUGGACAGUCUUCCGUGACUAGUAUUUCACAAUCAGGGCUGAAGUUUUUAGACAUGGAUAUAGAUCCCUUUCUAUCGUAGGAUUUACCCUUCGACAUUAAAGGAGAUCGCGUGCGUUUUCUGUAUUACGUUAGCAAGGCUAAAAAAACAAACAAAAUUGCGAUGUUUUGCGAAAUUAAUUGCAGCAACGAUAAUUCCUUACCUGCUACUAGUGGGAUAAGGAAGGUUUCCAAUCAUUUCAGAAUAUUGAUUACUUUUGGUAACAUGUGAUCCUUUCUUCAUGUUUUCUAUUUGAUUUUGAUAUUUCUUCUGAAUUUUAGAAAUUUCCAAAUGCAGCUUUUGACCCCGAACAAAAUUGCCUUGUUCCGCAUUUAAAGCCCUAGCACAAUCUUCGUUUGUAAAAAACUGAACGAAACCAUAAUUUGCUUUUAAAACUAUCUGUGCUAAAGGCCCAUAAAUUUUAAAAACUUUCCACAAAUUUCGUUUAGAUAAGCUCUUUGUAUUUAGAUGACCCAAAAAUAAGCGAGAAGCUGAAGGAAAUUGCCCUGGAUACCAGUUUGACAUUAUACUUUCUUCAUCUUUCAAAAAUUGUUGAAAUCUUUGUUCAUCCUCUAAGUUCAUUUGCAACGAUUUCUCGGCAGCAUUGUUACCCAAAUAUUCAACAUUUUGUGCUUCAUGAUUAAGUUGCAAAUUUUCAGGACUAUACGCAGAUUCCGGGGAACUGGGUGUCUGGGGAUUAUGAUGUUCAUGUAAUUCAUUAUGCUCAUUAUAAUAAUUGGGCAAAUUAGCACUAUACGAAUAAAUACUAGUCCUGUGAGCCUCAGGACUAGUUGACAAGUCUUUAGAAUAGGGAAUAAAAUCAGUAGUUCUAUAAGGUA